rnacentral:rRNA from 1 species
UAAAUUGAGAGUUUGAUCCUGGCUCAGGAUGAACGCUGGCGGCGUGCUUAACACAUGCAAGUCGAGCGAUGAAGUUUCCUUCGGGAAAUGGAUUAGCGGCGGACGGGUGAGUAACACGUGGGUAACCUGCCUCAUAGAGUG